UACGUAGGGACCAAGCGUUGUUCGGAUUUACUGGGCGUAAAGGGCGCGUAGGCGGCGUGGUAAGUCAGCUGUGAAAUCUCCGAGCUUAACUCGGAACGGUCAGCUGAUACUGCUGUGCUAGAGUGCAGAAGGGGCAAUCGGAAUUCUUGGUGUAGCGGUGAAAUGCGUAGAUAUCAGAGGAACACCUGAGGUGAAGACGGGUUGCUGGGCUGACACUGACGCUGAGGCGCGAAAGCUAGGGUAGCAAACGGG
rnacentral:rRNA from 1 species